rnacentral:rRNA from 1 species
UGGGGAAUUGUUCACAAUGGGCGCAAGCCUGAUGACGCAACGCCGCGUGGGGGAUGAAGGUCUUCGGAUUGUAAACCCCUGUCGAACGGGACGAACGGCCUCUGGGCUAAUCACCAGAGGAGUGACGGUACCGUUAAAGGAAGCCACGGCUAACUCUGUGCCAGCAGCCGCGGUAAUACAGAGGUGGCAAGCGUUGUUCGGAAUUACUGGGCGUAAAGGGCGCGUAGGCGGCCAUCUAAGUCAGACGUGAAAUCCCCCGGCUUAACCUGGGAACUGCGUCCGAUACUGGAGGGCUCGAGUUUGGGAGAGGGAUGUGGAAUUCCAGGUGUAGCGGUGAAAUGCGUAGAUAUCUGGAGGAACACCGGUGGCGAAGGCGGCAUCCUGGACCAACACUGACGCUGAGGCGCGAAAAGCUAGGGGAGCAAAACGGGAUUAGAUACCCCGGUAGUCCUAGCCCUAAACGAUGAAUGCUUGGUGUGGCGGGUAUCGAUCCCUGCCGUGCCGAAGCUAACG